UGCAAUUGUGUCGAACUUGAGUGUGAAACACAGUGACUUCAAACAGCAGGAUUGAAACGUCGAUCGUAUCAGAACUGCCAUCAAGAUCCCACAUGUCGAUGUACGAAAGCGGCCUGAAAUGUUUAGGCACAGCGCAGCAGAGCGUGGCCUCACGCAACUGUUGUUCUUGCAGACUUGUUUGUAACGAGGAGACAAAUUUGCACUCACGCCAUACCUCUUUCACACUGGACACGACAAAAAAAAAAAACAAAAAAAAAAACAUUAACAUCUGGCUUUUGUCUUAAGGGGGAAAGGGUACAAUCGGCAUCCAAUUCAUGAUCAAAUGACUCUGCAGUAGUUGUGGGUGUUUAUCGGCUCCAGUCAUGGAAACACAACACUCGUGCGGCUACGUUACUUUUUCACCGUUUUUUUCCGGCACGACGCUCUCACGUGCAUUGAAGUGAAGGACAUGGGCGUCUAAAUACUCUUCAUUCAUCUGCAUUCAAGCAUCUUUAAUGUUUGAGAGUGGUUCAACAUCCUGCCGGAUCGCCGUUACUGCUGACAUGGCAGCGUCAACGUCUGACCAGUAACAUGCAAACAGGGGAGAACAAACAGAAGAGCCAGAGCAGCCGCUGAUGUCUUCAACAGCACAGCGUGUGAAGCAAACCAACGACAAAGAGAGGCAGUUCAAUUUGGACGAACAUUCAUAAAUACUGCCUGUCAGUUUCCACGAGGAUUUGCCUUUUGUGAUGGAAACCUCAGUUAUGCACAUGAGAAGAGAGAGAGCAUGCCUUUGUUCUUUCACGUCUUUGAAUUGUUUCUGUCUUAAUUGUGUGGUGCCGCCAUCUGAAGCUUUGGGCACGAGGAGAGAUGACAAAUAGAAGUCUGUUGGACACACUGAGGUUAUCUGCAGGUGAUGAUGAACCGGACGGUGAUUGUGCAUGGGCACAGAACAGUGGAGGAUGAAAUCAAAAUCAAUCGGCAAUGUGAUUCAAUUUGUUCUGGUGACAUUACAGUCAU